rnacentral:rRNA from 1 species
AGUGAACGUUGGCGGCGUGGAUUAGGCAUGCAAGUCGAGCGAGAACCGUAGCAAUACGGGGACAGCGGCGAAAGGGACAGUAAUGUGUAGGUACCUACCUCCGGGUUCGGGAUAGCUGCGGGAAACUGCAGGUAAUACCGAAUAACGUCUCCGGACCAAAGGUGUGAUUCCACCUGGAGAGGGGCCUGCAUCCUAUUAGCUUGUUGGCGGGGUAACGGCCCACCAAGGCGACGAUGGGUAGCGGGUGUGAGAGCACGACCCGCGUCAUUGGGACUGAGACACUGCCCAGACACCUACGGGUGGCUGCAGUCGAGGAUCUUCGGCAAUGGGCGCAAGCCUGACCGAGCGACGCCGCGUGCGGGAUGAAGGCCUUCGGGUUGUAAACCGCUGUCGUAGAGGAGGAAGUGCAGGGGGGUUCUCCCCUCUGUUUGACCUAUUCUAGGAGGAAGGACGGGCUAAGUUCGUGCCAGCCGCCGCAGUAA